UCAGUCGACUCCUACGGGGAGGCAGCAGUGGGGAAUAUUGCACAAUGGGCGCAAGCCUGAUGCAGCCAUGCCGCGUGUAUGAAGAAGGCCUUCGGGUUGUAAAGUACUUUCAGCAGUGAGGAAGGUGGAGUCGUUAAUAGCGGCCUCAUUUGACGUUAGCUGCAGAAGAAGCACCGGCUAACUCCGUGCCAGCAGCCGCGGUAAUACGGAGGGUGCGAGCGUUAAUCGGAAUUACUGGGCGUAAAGCGCAUGCAGGUGGUUUGUUAAGUCAGAUGUGAAAGCCCGGGGCUCAACCUCGGAAUUGCAUUUGAAACUGGCAGACUAGAGUACUGUAGAGGGGGGUAGGAAUUUCAGGUGUAGCGGUGAAAUGCGUAGAGAUCUGAAGGAAUACCGGUGGCGAAGGCGGCCCCCUGGACAGAUACUGACACUCAGAUGCGAAAGCGUGGGGAGCAAACAGGAUUAGAUACCCUGGUAG
rnacentral:rRNA from 1 species